CCUACGGGAGGCAGCAGUGGGGAAUAUUGCGCAAUGGGCGAAAGCCUGACGCAGCGACGCCGCGUGAGGGAUGAAGGUCUUCGGAUCGUAAACCUCUGUCAGCAGGGAAGAACGGUCACUGUGCUAAUCAGCAGUGAAUUGACGGUACCUGCAAAGGAAGCACCGGCUAACUCCGUGCCAGCAGCCGCGGUAAUACGGAGGGUGCGAGCGUUAAUCGGAAUUACUGGGCGUAAAGCGCUCGUAGGCGGUAUGUCAAGUCAAGGGUGAAAUCCCCGCGCUCAACGUGGGAACUGCCGUUGAAACUGGUAAACUGGAGUGUGUGAGAGGAUAGUGGAAUUCCAGGUGUAGGAGUGAAAUGCGUAGAUAUCUGGAGGAACAUCAGUGGCGAAGGCGACUAUCUGGCAAAUAACUGACGCUGAGGAGCGAAAGCGUGGGUAGCAAACAGGAUUAGAUACCCGUGUAGUC
rnacentral:rRNA from 1 species